UGCUGGAUAGCUCACUUGGUUAAGGCACUGUGUUGCAGUGCAGAGGUGACUAUCACGUCGCGGGUUCGAUCCCCGCCUUGUAC